UCGACAGGCAGUAAUGCAGUUAACACAUUAAGUGUGCCGCCUGGGGAGUACGGUCGCAAGAUUAAAACUCAAAGGAAUAGACGGGGACCCGCACAAGCGGUGGAGCAUGUGGUUUAAUUCGACGAUACGCGAAGAACCUUACCUGGACUUGACAUAGAAAGAAUAACGCAGAGAUGUGAUAGUGCCAGCUUGCUGGAACUUUCAUACAGGUGCUGCACGGCUGUCGUCAGCUCGUGUCGUGAGAUGUUGGGUUAAGUCCCGCAACGAGCGCAACCCUCGUGUUUAGUUACUAACAGUUAGGCUGAGGACUCUAAACAGACUGCCUGGGUAACCAGGAGGAAGGUGAGGACGACGUCAAGUCAUCAUGGCCCUUAUGUCCAGGGCUACACACGUGCUACAAUGGGGCAUACAAAGAGCAGCGAUACCGCGAGGUGGAGCAAAUCUGUUAAAAUGCCUCUCAGUUCGGAUAGCACUCUGCAACUCGAGUGCUUGAAGUUGGAAUCGCUAGUAAUCGUGGAUCAGCAAUGCCACGGUGAAUACGUUCCCGGGUCUUGUACUCACCGCCCGUCACACCAUGGGAAUUGAAUUCAUUCGAAGCGGGGAUGCUAAAAUAGCUACCUUCCACAGUGGAUUUAGUAACUGGGGUGAAGUCGUAACAAGGUAGCCG
rnacentral:rRNA from 1 species